rfam:Haemonchus contortus, ISE/inbred ISE, WGS project CAVP01000000 data, contig: Hcontortus_18340
AAUGAUGUUGUGAGGCUGACUUGCUUAGGAGCUUGUUCGUGUUCCUAAGCUCUUCACCCUUACAGACACCUUCA